UACGUAGGGUCCGAGCGUUGUCCGGAAUUACUGGGCGUAAAGAGCUCGUAGGUGGUUUGUCGCGUUGUUCGUGAAAACUCACAGCUCAACUGUGGGCGUGCGGGCGAUACGGGCAGACUGGAGUACUGCAGGGGAGACUGGAAUUCCUGGUGUAGCGGUGGAAUGCGCAGAUAUCAGGAGGAACACCGGUGGCGAAGGCGGGUCUCUGGGCCUUACCUGACGCUGAGGAGCGAAAGCGUGGGGGAGCGAACAGG
rnacentral:rRNA from 1 species